UACGGGGGGAGCAAGCGUUGUUCGGAUUUACUGGGCGGAAAGGGCGCGUAGGCGGCCUGUGCAAGUCAGUUGUGAAAUCUCCGAGCUUAACUCGGAACGGUCAACUGAUACUGCUCGGCUAGAGUGCGGAAGGGGCAACUGGAAUUCUUGGUGUAGCGGUGAAAUGCGUAGAUAUCAAGAGGAACACCUGCGGCGAAGGCGGGUUGCUGGGCCGACACUGACGCUGAGGCGCGAAAGCUAGGGGAGCGAACGGG
rnacentral:rRNA from 1 species